UACAGAGGUCUCAAGCGUUGUUCGGAUUUAUUGGGCGUAAAGGGUGCGCAGGCGGCAAGGUAAGUCUGGUGUGAAAUCCUGGAGCUUAACUCCAGAAUUGCACUGGAUACUGCUUUGCUAGAGGACUGGAGAGGAGAUUGGAAUUCACGGUGUAGCAGUGAAAUGCGUAGAUAUCGUGAGGAAGACCAGUGGCGAAGGCGAAUCUCUGGACAGUUCCUGACGCUCAGGCACGAAGGCCAGGGGAGCAAACGGG
rnacentral:rRNA from 1 species